UAGCCCUAAAUCUUGGCACUUCCCCCACUAAAGUGCCCGCCCGAGNAACUACGAGCACAAACGCUUAAAACUCUAAGGACUUGGCGGUGCCCCAAACCCACCUAGAGGAGCCUGUUCUAUAAUCGAUAACCCACGAUUCACCCGACCGCCCCUUGCCAAAACAGCCUACAUACCGCCGUCGUCAGCCCACCUUCGUGAAAGAACAACAGUGAGCGCAAUAGCCCCACCCGCUAACAAGACAGGUCAAGGUAUAGCCCAUGGGGCGGAAGAAAUGGGCUACAUUUUCUGAAACAGAAAACUUAACGAAAGGGAACGUGAAACCGUCCCCAAAAGGCGGAUUUAGCAGUAAAGCGGGACAAUAGAGCCCCCUUUAAACCGGCCCUGAGGCACGNACACACCGCCGUUCAACCCUAA
rnacentral:rRNA from 1 species